rnacentral:rRNA from 1 species
UACGGAAUGUGCAAACGUUAUUCGGAAUCACUGGGCUUAAAGAGUCCGUAGGCGGCAUGUUAGGUGAGGUGUGAAAUCCCCCGGCUCAACCGAGGAAUUGCGCUUCAAACCGGCGUGCUUGAGGAAGAUAGAGGUGGGCGGAACUGAUGGUGGAGCGGUGAAAUGCGUUGAUAUCAUCAGGAACACCGGAGGCGAAGGCGGCCCACUAAGCCAUAACUGACGCUGAUGCACGAAAGCGUGGGGAGCAAACAGG